GUUGGUUUAGCUGAAGUGGUAAAGCCUUCGAUUGAUGAUGAUCGGGGAUUUAGUAGUUCUAAUCUACUGGCUGACA